rnacentral:lncRNA from 1 species
CCGCCCCGCAUACAUCCACACAUAAGCAUCUAUAGUUGACUAAUCUAUUAUGACAAACAAUAUGAUGGAUAUAGUUUAUGUUAAUCGCCAUGCCCUUUCCUCUAGAAUUUAACUGUAAGUUAAUGGACACCGGAAACUAGAAUUCUACAUGCCUUGCUAAUGGGUUUAGGUAUUAGCUAGUUCUAACGAUGCAUACAAAUGCACUUGUCUCUGUAGGCUGCCGCAAGAUUUAUGGCUCUUUUGCUUUCUGUAGCUGUAAACAAGUUUUAUUCUUCUGCGGGACCCAAACAGCGAAGAUUUCUCUUUUGGUCCGCUGAAGGACGAGAAGAAUGUGGAAUCUUCCCCAGAAAGAAGAUAAUAGGGUCGCACAGUGGGUCUCUCUGUCCGAAGCCUCACGAUGGAUUUGCUAUGGUUAUGCCUUUUGCAAUUGAACUUAUGUCAGAUAAUUCCAGAAGUGCUGCCGAAUUCCCCAUACAAAGAGAGAGAAAAAACAGGCUGGAGAGGGAGGAAAAAAUCAAGCGCCUGAGAACCGAUUCAUCUCGGAAGAAAGUCCAGCUAAAUCUAAGCAACUUUUGCUCGCAAUACAACGAUACAACGUGGAAGAUUUCAACAGAUUCAGAUUCACUCAUACAGAAUUGGCCCCCAUUCCCUAUUCCUAGGACAAUCUUCUGAACAAGGACAUGUUAUAGAAGGUAUGCCAGUGACUUUAACAAUAAAGAAAGAUUUCAAGCUGAGACUUUCA